rnacentral:rRNA from 1 species
GUGCACGCUGGCGGUCGGCCUCACACAUGCAAGUCGCACGGCAGCACAGUAAGAGCUUGCUCUUACGGGUGGCGAGUGGCGGACGGGUGAGGAAUACAUCGGAAUCUACUUUUUCGUGGGGGAUAACGUAGGGAAACUUACGCUAAUACCGCAUACGACCUACGGGUGAAAGCAGGGGAUCUUCGGACCUUGCGCGAUUGAAUGAGCCGAUGUCGGAUUAGCUAGUUGGCGGGGUAAAGGCCCACCAAGGCGACGAUCCGUAGCUGGUCUGAGAGGAUGAUCAGCCACACUGGAACUGAGACACGGUCCAGACUCCUACGGGAGGCAGCAGUGGGGAAUAUUGGACAAUGGGCGCAAGCCUGAUCCAGCCAUACCGCGUGGGUGAAGAAGGCCUUCGGGUUGUAAAGCCCUUUUGUUGGGAAAGAAAAGCAGCAGGUUAAUACCCCGCUAUUCUGACGGUACCCAAAGAAUAAGCACCGGCUAACUUCGUG